rnacentral:misc_RNA from 1 species
GGUAGUAAAAGUCGUAACAAGGUUUCCGUAGGUGAACCUGCGGAAGGAUCAUUAUUGUAUAACCGAGGUGCGAGGGCUGUCGCUGACCCGAAAGGUCGUGCACGCCCGAGCGCCCUCACACACAUCCAUCUCACCCCUAUGUGCACCACCGCGUGGGUCCCCCUUUGGCUUGUUCGGAGGGGGGCUUACGUUUUCACACAAACUUUGUAUGCAGUGUAGAAUGUAUUUUUUGGUUUUGCGAUCACGCAAUCAAUACAACUUUCAACAACGGAUCUCUUGGCUCUC